CAGCCUUGCUGUGUCAUUUACCUUUCUCGGCCAAGAUGCUUCAAUGUACACAUACCAGCCAUUACCUGCAAAUCAGUACACCAGAAGAAUAAUGAAGUUGCAAAAAUUCAAAAUUGCUUUUCUCAGUUCAUGCAAAUGAUGACCUAGAGAAUUUGAGGAAAAAAACAGUACAAACAACACCAUUAAGUGGUCUGUCAUGGAGACCUUUCAGAAGGGUCCAGAUGAGUGUUUCAGCAUUACCAACCACUUGAUAAAGAUUGAGGGAGCCAACGCGUGAACCAUACAUGUGA